GAUGAACGCUGACAGAUUGCUUAACACAUGCAAGUCUACUUGAUCCUUCGGGUGAUGGUGGCGGACGGGUGAGUAACGCGUAAAGAACUUGCCCUGCAGUCUGGGACAACAUUUGGAAACGAAUGCUAAUACCGGAUAUUAUGUGAGUUUCGCAUGAAAUUCAUAUGAAAGUUAUAUGCGCUGCAGGAGAGCUUUGCGUCCUAUUAGCUAGUUGGUGAGGUAACGGCUCACCAAGGCGAUGAUAGGUAGCCGGCCUGAGAGGGUGAACGGCCACAAGGGGACUGAGACACGGCCCUUACUCCUACGGGAGGCAGCAGUGGGGAAUAUUGGACAAUGGACCAAAAGUCUGAUCCAGCAAUUCUGCGUGCACGAUGAAGUUUUUCGGAAUGUAAAGUGCUUUCAGUUGGGACGAAGUAAGUGACGGUACCAACAGAAGAAGCGACGGCUAAAUACGUGCCAGCAGCCGCGGUAAUACGUAUGUCGCAAGCGUUAUCCGGAUUUAUUGGGCGUAAAGCGCGUCUAGGCGGUUUGGUAAGUCUGAUGUGAAAAUGCGGGGCUCAACUCCGUAUUGCGUUGGAAACUGCCAAACUAGAGUACUGGAGAGGUGGGCGGAACUACAAGUGUAGAGGUGAAAUUCGUAGAUAUUUGUAGGAAUGCCGAUGGGAAAGCCAGCCUACUGGACAGAUACUGACGCUAAAGCGCGAAAGCGUGGGUAGCAAACAGG
rnacentral:rRNA from 1 species